rnacentral:rRNA from 1 species
CCCUUAGAUGUCCUGGGCUGCACGCGCGCUACACUGAUGUGUCCAGUAAGCACCUAACCUCUUCCGAAAGGAACGGGUAACCUUUGCAAAGCACAUCGUGAUGGGGAUAGAUUAUUGCAAUUAUUAGUCUUGAACGAGGAAUUCCUAGUAAGCACAAGUCAUCAGCUUGUGUUGAUUACGUCCCUGCCCUUUGUACACACCGCCCGUCGCUCCUACCGAUUGAAUGAUCCGAUGAAUAUCAUGGAUUGAGGAUGCAAGUAGGUUCGCCUAUCUUCAUCUUCGAGAAGUGAAGUAAAUCUUAUCAUUUAGAGGAAGGAGAAGUCGUAACA